AGGUUUUCUUGUCUUGACCUAGAAAACUAGAAACCACGAGCACCCAGAACAUAGAGUUCCUCCAGGUCAUAGCAAAGCGUGAGGAGUCGAUCCAUCAGUGCCAGCUGCGCUUAGAAGAGAAGACCCGGGAGUGCAGCUCCUUGGCUCGGCAGCUGGAAAUGGCCAUUGAGGAUGCCAAACGACAAGUAAGGGUUUUCUUGUUUGUUGAUUUUCCUGCAGCUACCCAGAGUGUAAAAUGGAAAUGCCUCCCCAGCUUAUGACACGAUUGUUUGCAACAGAAGUAAGAAAAGCCCUGUGCUGACCUACUGCUUAUGUACAGGAAUCUGUCCAAGUAAACGUGCAGGGGGUUUGUGGGCAGUAAGGUAGGGAAGAAUCAGCCUUUCACAGACACCUCUCUGACAAGGCUGUUUUUCUGUUGUUAAAUGCAGGUCGAACAAACUCGAGAACGAGCAACAUCCAGAGAGAGGGCAGCCCAGUCCAAGGUGCUGGAUUUGGAGACCCAGCUGAGUAGGACGAAGACAGAGCUGAACCAACUGCGUCGGAACAAAGAGGACGCAGAGCGCCGCUAUGAGAGCCGCCUGCAGGACUUAAAGGAUCGGCUGGAGCAGUCGGAGAGCACAAAUCGCAGCAUGCAGAACUACGUCCAGUUCCUCAAAUCUUCCUAUGCCAAUGUGUUUGCAGACAGUGCCUUGCUGGGCUCUCCUGGCCGCUCUCGUUCUUCUCCGUGAGGGCAGUGCUUGCUCUGCACCUCUGCUUUUAAGCACAAAAUGAGCCCUCUGUCAAAGCCAUACGGUGUUUAGGAAAUGGGUUGAAAAUGGAGAAGUGUCAGGGUCACUUAAGGGAGGAGUGUUUUCCUUGCAGCAGGGGAUGGUGGAAUGAUGGAGGCACGCAAUCUCAGCAUGCAGAGCAUUAGCAGUGCUGGUUUGCAGAUGGAGGCCGGCGUUACUCUGUAAGCUGUGCCCCAAAACCGGCUGGCUUUGCAUAAAGUGGCAAAGUCCCUUUUCAUCCUAUGAGCUCUGGAUGGUUUCAGCUCUUUAAACCCAGCAGUGGUUUUAGUUGUGUUAAUGUUUGUGGGAGCUGUUUUCCAUGCUUCGUUUUCUCUUUUUUUUUCCCCCCUGUUUUCUGUACUGGGGUUGAUCGUGUGCUAUUCCUCACUGUUGCUAUCAUUUCAUGUGCUGGUGGUGCUGUGGAUGGUGGGAGAGAAGUGCACCCACCUCUCAGGGAAGCGUGAAGCUGAAAAUAAGGGACAGGCCUGGGGCUUCAUGCUUACAGGAGAUGAUCUCCUGAACCACUGUGCUGUUUGUAAGCAGUUUUAUACCAGAAAUAAUGAUUUAGUUGUGUUUGUUUUUUAACUUUGACUCUCGUGUGCUCUGUGAUCCUCGCUUGUUUCGGCAUGAUGCUCAUUUUGCUUUACCCCUCACCCCAAUGCUGUUCUCCUGAGCCUGAACAGCCCCAGCACAGCGCCCCCAAACCAUCUGUGUUCAAAAGGAAGGCUGCAGCUCAGCCUCGGCCGGGUCUCACUGUGAAUGCUGUAUGAAUUCAGCGUGUGCACGGAAUACCCAUCGGCUCAAAGCCCGUUGGAGAGCAGCUGCUGCUCAGUGCCUUCAUCAACCCCACCUGUGUGUCCUGCAGCUCUGUGCCGCCCCUCCGCUCCUUCCUUAUGGCUCCUUAUGGGGACGAAGCAAACAUCGCUGUUAUUUCGUAACACUUUUGUAUCCCGUUGCUGCGGCCCCGGCACCGUUUGCCAUGCAGGUUUUCUACGAUAAUCAUUAUGGGAGAGUUCUGUAAUUUUGUGUGCAACUUUUUACAAAAAAUAAAUCCUAAAGGUGCU
rnacentral:lncRNA from 1 species